rnacentral:rRNA from 1 species
CAACCUGGAAACAGAUGCUAAUACCGGAUAACAACAGAUGAUGCCUAUCAACUGUUUAAAAGAUGGUUCUGCUAUCACUCUUGGAUGGACCUGCGGUGCAUUAGCUAGUUGGUAGGGUAACGGCCUACCCAAGGCGAUGAUGCAUAGCCCGAGUUGAGAGACUGAUCGGCCACAUUGGGACUGAGACACGGCCCAAACUCCUACGGGAGGCAGCAGUAGGGAAUCUUCCACAAUGGACGCAAGUCUGAUGGAGCAACGCCGCGUGAGUGAAGAAGGGUUUCGGCUCGUAAAGCUCUGUUGUUGGUGAAGAAGGACAGGGGGUAGUAACUGACCUUUGUUUGACGGUAAUCAAUUAGAAAGUCACGGCUAACUACGUGCCAGCAGCCGCGGUAAU